UCUGGGCAGGUGGAGAUGUGGGCUCGGGCCUGGAGGCCAGGCAGAGGGAGAAACUAAGGUCUUCCCAGGGCUAAUAUGUCCUGUGCCUGAGCAUCUGGGCCGAAGGAGCUGUUAUCCCCGAAGAAGGAAAUAACAGCAGCAGAGGACAUCUCAAGUUUGGACCCUUACCCCUGCUUCUGACCUUGUUACAACUCCUGAUUUUCAUGGAGAAGAGGAACAAAGCUCAGAGGCGCAAGGUCUGCCUUCCCAGGUAGCAUCUCUCCCUUCCAAUGGAAUUAUCAGGGCCCCACUGCUCCUUCAGUCUGGAAGCUUCCCACCCCGUCUUUGCCUGCACAGAAUUGUUGCAUCCUUCUAGGGUUGGCAUUCUUGGUCCUCCUGAAACUGGUUCCCUGUUGAAUCCAGCAAUAUCAUAAAAGUCGUACUGCAUUAGCCUCUGUGGGGCACAGCCAUGCAAAAGAGCAACCAGAGCCCUCUGAUGGACCUUCGAGAAGAACCCUGAGGUUAAUAAAUCAAUGA